CAUUUUCCAAACCAUUGACGUAUGUGAAAGAAAACAGACGAUAAAUUUUCAUUCUCAGCGCACAUUUCAAGUCAUCACUUCAAUUAUUCCUAUCAGUCCGGUUGUCUGCUGCACUCCCAUUUUUUUUUUUACCUCCCCCAACAUAUGAAUGAUACUUCUCAAGUUUUCAGAAGUUCUACAAAACAGUGCUUUUUGUGCACCCAAUCUGCAGGUGCAGCAAAGACCUUGGCAAGGGGCAAAUGGAUUAUCACUUACGAAAACAGUUACAUCGUAUUGUUCAUAUUUCUUCAAGGUCUUGAGCAAGGCAUAAAUUCUCAUGAAAACGAAGCUAUUGCAGUCCCAGCAUCAGACAGCUAAACAGCCUUUAAAUCCAAGUCCUAAAUACUGCGCAGCAGUUCCAACUUCAUUAAAAGAAGACAGUGUGCUUUUACUGAUUUAUGAUUCUGCUUCUGAUCCCUGCUACGAAAAUGACUACAUUUCUUCUUUCCGGGAGCUUCAUUUUCUUGUUUAUUCUUUAUACCCUCGCCACAUCUUGAUUUGGCUCGUUGUUCCUUUUUCCUAUGCAUAUACUUCUUUGAGAGUUUGAUCUAAAGAGGCAUAGUGCAUGGGAAAAUGGGGCGACUGAGGUACUUCGCCAUUCGUUCCAAACAGCGCUGUUGAGAUGACUGUUGAAAUGGAGGAAAUGGACAUACGAAGAAAUGAAAGGUUAGUUUAUGUAACACUCACUUCACCAUCAAAAAAUGAACACAAGGUAGUGGUAUUAUUUAACCUCAUUUGUAAUUCAUUGUCAUUUAAUUCUGUGAGAGAAUAGUACUUUAAGUAUCUACCCAACUAUUUAACAUACUGCUCGGUGAACUGUUUAUCUGUAGUAAAUGCAUUGCUAAUAUUUCUGAAUUUGUUAUUCCCAUAAGCCUUCAGAAGUAAGGGGAACAGAGUCACAGACGGCAAAAGUGCAACACCAAACCUCUCUUGGACUCAGUCUUCACGGACUGCACUGCAAGUCGGGGCAUGGAGCCUUGGUCGUGUAGGUUCUGUCAUGUGUAUGUUAUCCAGGUUGGGUGUCUACAACGUACUGGUUAUUCUUAGGACCCAAUCCUACAAGAUUCUAAGUACCUCAUAUUAUGCCAGCUUGUAAACUCUUACUAGUUAAAACAGACACUUGGUAAAUAGUAAGUCAAGUACUAAGCAUACUAAUUUUUUCUCUUUUUUUUAUUCACAGGUAUCUUUCAAGAGGAACUGGAGAUUUUUAUUUUCCUGUUAAUGUUUUAUUAUAUUUCUGUUCAGUUUAUUUUGUUUAGUCUAAAAAGAGAUAUAUCAUAUCAGUUCUGUAAAAAAUAUUAUGAAACCAUGUAAUUGAAUAUACUGUGUGUCAAAUAAAAAGCUAAAGUUUCA